rnacentral:rRNA from 1 species
GACAGAGGGGGGCAAGCGUUGCUCGGAAUCACUGGGCGUAAAGGGCGCGUAGGCGGGAUGGCAAGUCAGUCGUGAAAUCUCUCGGCUCAACCGAGAAACGUCGGCUGAUACUGCCGUUCUUGAGGGAUGCAGAGGAGACUGGAAUUCCCGGUGUAGCGGUGAAAUGUGUAGAGAUCGGGAGGAACACCGGUGGCGAAGGCAAUCCCCCUGGACCUGUACUGACGCUCAUGCACGAAAGCGUGGGGGAGCAAACAGG